GAUGAACGCUGGCGGCGUGCCUAAUACAUGCCAGUCGAGCGAACGGACGAGAAGCUUGCUUUUCUGAUGUUAGCGGCGGACGGGUGAGUAACACGUGGAUAACCUACCUAUAAGACUGGGAUAACUUCGGGAAACCGGAGCUAAUACCGGAUAAUAUUUUGAACCGCAUGGUUCAAAAGUGAAAGACGGUCUUGCUGUCACUUAUAGAUGGAUCCGCUCUGCAUUAGCUAGUUGGUAAGGUAACGGCUUACCAAGGCAACGAUGCAUAGCCGACCUGAGAGGGUGAUCGGCCACACUGGAACUGAGACACGGUCCAGACUCCUACGGGAGGCAGCAGUAGGGAAUCUUCCGCAAUGGGCGAAAGCCUGACGGAGCAACGCCGCGUGAGUGAUGAAGGUCUUCGGAUCGUAAAACUCUGUUAUUAGGGAAGAACAUAUGUGUAAGUAACUGUGCACAUCUUGACGGUACCUAAUCAGAAAGCCACGGCUAACUACGUG
rnacentral:rRNA from 1 species